UACGUAGGGCGCAAGCGUUAUCCGGAAUUAUUGGGCGUAAAGAGCUCGUAGGCGGUUUGUCGCGUCUGCCGUGAAAAGUCCGGGGCUCAACUCCCGGAUCUGCGGUGGGUACGGGCAGACUAGAGUGAUGUAGGGGGAGACUGGAAUUCCUGGUGUAGCGGUGAAAUGCGCAGAUAUCAGGAGGAACACCGAUGGCGAAGGCAGGUCUCUGGGCAUUAACUGACGCUGAGGAGCGAAAGCAUGGGGAGCGAACAGG
rnacentral:rRNA from 1 species